rnacentral:rRNA from 1 species
CGGGUGGCGGACGGGUGAGUAAUGUCUGGGAAACUGCCUGAUGGAGGGGGAUAACUACUGGAAACGGUAGCUAAUACCGCAUAAUGUCGCAAGACCAAAGAGGGGGACCUUCGGGCCUCUUGCCAUCGGAUGUGCCCAGAUGGGAUUAGCUUGUUGGUGGGGUAACGGCUCACCAAGGCGACGAUCCCUAGCUGGUCUGAGAGGAUGACCAGCCACACUGGAACUGAGACACGGUCCAGACUCCUACGGGAGGCAGCAUG